UAUCUUAGCAACCGUGUAGAGCGUCGCGCUGGCCGUUUACACUCGGAUUAAUUGAUUUAAAAUAAUAAAGAAUAGUGAUUUUAUAAUUGAAUGGAUUAUUAAUGGACAAGAUUAAAUUUAACACUUAAAAUUUUAUUAUUAUUUUAGUAAAAUGGCGCCGAAAAAGAAAGGAGGCCUUCAGACUGUACAGAAGGAAACUGAUGAGCUGCAGAGGAAGGUGGACUCUUUGGUGCAGGACUUUAACACAUUGAGUGUCUCAGACGGAACACAGACGUCUCAGAGGUGUUUAGAUCUACAGAGAGCAGUGACAGACACGCUAACAACGCUCCAGAGAUUAACCAAAGCAGAUGAACGGGCUCCUGUAGGAGAUUAUGAUCAGAGGAAGAGGCAGGAGGAGGAGCGACUGAGGACUUUACAGGAGAAACUCAGAGCUCUGAAAAUAAAACCUCAGGACAACUCGGCUGAAGAAGAGGAGGUCAGUGAGGAGGAAGAGGGUGAAGAGGAAGAGGAAGAUGAUGCACAUGAUGAUGAUGAUGAGGAGGAGGAGGAGGAUGAGGAUGAUGAUGAGGAUGAUGGAGAUGCAGACAGGAAGACGUUCACUGCUCAGAUGAACAAUGUGCGCUAUGUGGCUCUCGGCUCUUUCACAGGACAAGAGGAGGGAGACCUUACAGUCCAGAAAGGAGCUGUUGUUAAAAUCCUGCAGAAGAGUGAUGACGGAUGGUGGCUCGCUCAGGACAGAGACGGGAACAAAGGCCUGGUCCCCAAAAACUACCUUCAGAAAAUAUCUCCACAAGAGCGAGUGGAAGAAACCGAUGAUGAUGAUGAUGAUGAAGAUGAAGAAAGUAAUGAAGUACUGAAGGAUGAAAAUGACCCUGCUGAUGGGAAAGCGAGCAUGUCGUCCAACUGGGAUACAGUGAGAAAGGCUGUUAGUGAGAUCGAUGCCACUGAUGUGCUGUCAGCCAUGGGAGCCAUUCCUCCAGGCUUCAGACCCUCCACUCUGUCUAAACUGCUGGAGGAAGGGACUUGCUAUAGAGCCAGUCAUUAUAUUCAACCCAAACUCGGCCAGUCAGAGCUCAGCUUUAAAGACCUUCAGCUGGACCCAGACACCGGCAAGGUCCUUGCACACACAUCUCGAGCGUGUGUGAUCAUGACUCUAUGGAGCUGUAGGAUGAUCCCGCCUCCAGGGGUGGGGCUGAGGGUCCUGAGCCGUCACAUCCGUCUUUGCGCUUUUAAUGGAACUGAGGUGGUGAGUAACAUCCACACUGUGAGAGCCUCCUACACUCCAUCCAGCCCUAAAACAUGGAGCUUCUCACCACGGAUGAGCGGUUUGUUGCCCUGUCUGUUAGAUGGAGAGUGUUUUUUUUGCUGCGAUUCUAAUUCUCCUGAUGUGGGAAUCCUGUUUGAGCUCGGCGUCACCUACAUCAGAAGUUCCACAGGAGAGAGAGGAGAUCUGAGCUGUGGUUGGGCUUUUCUUAAACUGUUUGAUGAAAAUGGAGCACUCAUACCUCUACGAACGCAGGAGCUUGCUGUGCAUGGAGGUACUCCAUAUGAGGGAGUCAUGGAUGCAUAUAGCAUGCCAUCUAAAAGAGGUGGCUCCACUGGUGUGCUUCAUCACAUGCUGAUGUCCAGGAAGCUUCCCAAACUCACCAUUAAGCUCAGAUCCCCAAACACUCGUACCAGAGGACAGCUCAGCUUACUCCCUGACACUUUACUCGGCUGUGUGUCCACGGUUCCCCUGCUGGUUCUGUACAGACAACUGCUCGCUGAUACACUGCUGCUGGACCGAGUCACCAUGCAGAAUGCAGAUCUGAUCUGCAGCUCGGUUCUAGCGACAUUCCCUGAGGUUCUUGAUCAGUUGGACCUGAUGGAUGCUUUCAGGAAAUCAUGGGCAGAGUCAGAAAACAACCUGAAAAGGUCUCAGAAGAAGGAUGUAGCUGUACUAAAGAAGCUCUUUGAGAGUGUGUAUAUGAGCAGCGUGUUCCCGUUAUUGUUCUCGGCUGAGAUGCUCGCUCCUGUCUGGGCCAACGAGGACACAGAGGCCCAACGAGCCCGUAUCAUUUACAACCCCGCCCACAAGAUCACCUUGGAAACCAUGCUGUCCUCCAGUCACAAGCAUCAAGCCUUUAACAUCUCUCAAGUUUCCUAUGAUCUCCUCAAUUCUGCCUGGAACUGACCAAUCACCAUGCAGCUGACCUACAGACUGACCAAUCAGCACACAGCUCAUGUACACACUCCCAGUGACUGCACGGUUUAAAAUCAACCCGGCCAGUGACCAUACCACGCUGCUGUGGACCAAUCUGAGCUCCAGACUGACCAGCUACAGACCGACCAAUCAGCAUUCAGCAGAAGUUAAAAUGGACAACAGCUGACCAAUCAGGAUGAAGGACUCUGAUCAGUCUGUUCAACUACUUAUUAAACUAUUAACCAGUACUUAACAGCAGCAGGAGGUUGUGUUUCAUUUCAGAGUAAGAAACCUGAGUCAGUAAGAUGACACGCCUAGGUGGCCUGCUGCUGUGGUGACAGAAAAAAGUUGGAGCCCAAAACACACACACACACACACACACACACACUACCCAUGUAAUGAUGCUAUCUAUUGUCAUAAACUUCCCCUCCAUUCCAA